rnacentral:lncRNA from 1 species
UAAUGACACUAUUUUUACUCAUUGAGAAGCUAGGAGGUAAACAGACUUUUCAAAAGAGGGCCCAACUUAUUAUGCAAUGUGAUGCUGUUUUAGUGGCUGAGACAUCUUUGCCUACUGCUGGAACUGAAGAAGUGAGUUACUUUGAAUGGGAUUGUGCUUAUCUAUAAUUUUGAUUAUGAAUAUUUCUGCUGUACUGUAAUUGGCAAAUUGAUGUCAUGACUUUUUUCUUAUGAAACAAUGUUGUUAGUCCUGAUGACUAGUUACAACCAGUAAAUUGUUUAUGACGUUAUCAGUUGGGAAUGUUAAUUUUUUUCUCUUCAUUGAUUUUUGCAAAUUACUGGUUUACUUUAUUGGGUGGGAGCACAAAUCCUUUAAAUAUUGCUGGCAUAUCUCAUUUGAAUGCACAAAUAGAACAUUAAAGCCGCUAGUGUAUACUUUUAUGUAUUCUGUAUGUAUUAUGUUCACAGUGUGGUGGUCACCUCCAUCCUAGAGGUCCCUGGCAACAGAUCUUUAAGAUUCUGCUGGACCACCUCGCUGGAAGACAUUGUUUGAUAUUUGGACUUUUUUUGUGCAUGCUAAAUUUGAUGACGACAUUUGAUAUUAAGGUGUUGUCUUCUCUAUGGUACCUUAGUUGAACAUUCUUCUUUUUUUUUUCCUUGAAUUCUUUCACCUUUCUGUUUGCUUAUUGAGAAAUCUUUUUACGAGAAUUCUUAUUUGAUUUUGAUUUUCAUGUCAUUUGGUCCAUAUUGGGCCAACCGAUGGAAAGAAAAUACAAAAGUGAUUUCCAGGUGAAGCUGGCACAUCAUUUUGCUUAUGCGCCUGUUGAAGCUUUGCAUG